rnacentral:lncRNA from 1 species
UUAAUAACUAUGAAUCUUGUUGAGUAGGUAUAGCUAUGAAAAAAUCAUAUAUAUGCCAAAACAGCAUUACGAUACUAAAAAUCAUUAUUAGAAAAUAUAAGUUUUUAAUCCAAAUUUUUUAGAAUUGGUAGAGAAAAAAAGAUAACGCGAUUUAGAAUGAAUAAGAGAAUGAAAAAUGGUAAAAAAAUCCAAAUAAAAGUCAAAAGAAAUGCCAAGUCAUACAGAUCUCAAUUCGCCGAAUAUAACGAUAGUAAGUUUGUUUGCUAUUUUUAGCAGAGUUGUAUAUGUAUGCGUAUUGCUAUUGGAGUUGUGAUUUCUAAUCUAUGCAAAAGAGAGACAAAAGUGAAGUGACAACAAAGUUGUUGUCUCACAGUUAGUUCUUUUUUAAGAGUGUUGGAAACAAAGACAUUACAAGAAAGGAAACUAAAGAAGAAGAAGAGAGUAUUCGCAAUGGCAACAAACUUAGAUUGCCUGAUGCAGAUUCAGUGACCAUCGAAGAAGAGUUUCUCUGCUUUGCUUAGUUCAUUUGAUUUUUUUUUUUCUUUUUCUUAAAAGAUUCUUCUCUUCAAUCCCCAGAGACCAUUCUUCCUUAUACACAGGUAUCUGAUCAUCUCAUUUUCAGAUAAUUGUUGUUAUUUUUUAUAUACACUGACUCAAUAAUAUGCAUAAUUUUUGACAAAAAA